rnacentral:rRNA from 1 species
GAUGAACGCUGGCGGCGUGCCUAACACAUGCAAGUCGAACGAGAAGCUAACUUCUGAUUCCUUCGGGAUGAUGAGGUCAGCAGAAAGUGGCGAACGGGUGAGUAACGCGUGGGUAAUCUACCCUGUUGAGUGGGGGAUAACCCUCCGAAAGGAGGGCUAAUACCGCAUAACAUCUUCUUCCCAAAAGAGAGGAAGAUUAAAGAUGGCCUCUAUACUAUGCUAUCGCUUCAGGAUGAGCCUGCGUCCUAUUAGUUAGUUGGUGGGGUAAUGGCCUACCAAGACCACAAUGGGUAGCCGGUCUGAGAGGAUGUACGGCCACACUGGGACUGAGAUACGGCCCAGACUCCUACGGGAGGCAGCAGUGGGGAAUAUUGCGCAAUGGGGGAAACCCUGACGCAGCGACGCCGCGUGGAUGAUGAAGGCCUUUGGGUUGUAAAAUCCUGUUUUGGGGGAAGAAACCUUAAGGGUCCAAUAAGCCCUUAAGCUGACGGUACCCC